GGAAACCUUUUUUUGCACGUUCCUUUCAUAUGCUUACCUCCAACACUGUCUGUGUUCUCUGCAGAAUUGCUCUGUUUUUCAGUUUUUCUCUGUGGUGUCAGCGAUUGAGUUUUAGACAACAUCAGGGAUUAAUAUGAGCUGAUACUAAGUCAUGCUUCACUUGCUCACUACAUUUUUUUGAAUAAACGCUCACCAGGAAAGGUGGCUCGCUACAUGUAUGUCACUUACACAAAUGCCUGACCCGAAGACCUUUAAGCAGCACUUUGAAAGCAAACAUCCAAAGUCCUCAAUGCCCCCGGAGUUGG